UACGGAGGAUGCAAGCGUUAUCCGGAAUGAUUGGGCGUAAAGGGUCCGCAGGUGGCAAUGUGUGUCUGCUGUCAAAGAAUGAGGCUUAACCUCAUCAAGGCAGUGGAAACUACAUAGCUAGAGUACGGUCGGGGUAGAAGGAAUUCCUGGUGUAGCGGUGAAAUGCGUAGAGAUCAGGAAGAACACCGGUGGCGAAAGCGCUCUGCUGGACCUUAACUGACACUGAGGGACGAAAGCUAGGGGAGCGAAUGGG
rnacentral:rRNA from 1 species